rnacentral:rRNA from 1 species
UACGUAGGUGGCGAGCGUUGUCCGGAAUUACUGGGUGUAAAGGGCGUGUAGACGGGUGUGCAAGUCAGAUGUGAAAUUCCAGGGCUCAACCCUGGCGCUGCAUCUGAAACUGUAUAUCUUGAGUGCUGGAGAGGAAAGCGGAAUUCCUAGUGUAGCGGUGAAAUGCGUAGAUAUUAGGAGGAACACCAGUGGCGAAGGCGGCUUUCUGGACAGUAACUGACGUUGAGGCGCGAAAGCGUGGGGAG